rnacentral:rRNA from 1 species
UACGGGGGGGGCAAGCGUUGUUCGGAAUUACUGGGCGUAAAGGGCUCGUAGGCGGCCAACUAAGUCGGACGUGAAAUCCCCAGGCUCAACCUGGGAACUGCGUCCGAUACUGGAGGGCUUGAGUGCGGGAGAGGGAUGUGGAAUUCCAGGUGUAGCGGUGAAAUGCGUAGAUAUCUGGAGGAACACCGGUGGCGAAGGCGGCAUCCUGGACCGACACUGACGCUGAUGCGCGAAAGCCAGGGGAGCAAACGGG